rnacentral:rRNA from 1 species
GGUUUUAUUUGGUGUUUUUUGGUCGGUCAGAUUGAACGCUGGCGGCAGGCCUAACACAUGCAAGUCGAGCGGAUGAGUGGAGCUUGCUCCAUGAUUCAGCGGCGGACGGGUGAGUAAUGCCUAGGAAUCUGCCUGGUAGUGGGGGACAACGUUUCGAAAGGAACGCUAAUACCGCAUACGUCCUACGGGAGAAAGUGGGGGAUCUUCGGACCUCACGCUAUCAGAUGAGCCUAGGUCGGAUUAGCUAGUUGGUGAGGUAAAGGCUCACCAAGGCGACGAUCCGUAACUGGUCUGAGAGGAUGAUCAGUCACACUGGAACUGAGACACGGUCCAGACUCCUACGGGAGGCAGCAGUGGGGAAUAUUGGACAAUGGGCGAAAGCCUGAUCCAGCCAUGCCGCGUGUGUGAAGAAGGUCUUCGGAUUGUAAAGCACUUUAAGUUGGGAGGAAGGGCAGUAAGUUAAUACCUUGCUGUUUUGACGUUACCAACAGAAUAAGCACCGGCUAACUUCGUGCCAGCAGCCGCGGUAAUACGAAGGGUGCAAGCGUUAAUCGGAAUUACUGGGCGUAAAGCGCGCGUAGGUGGUUCGUUAAGUUGGAUGUGAAAGCCCCGGGCUCAACCUGGGAACUGCAUCCAAAACUGGCGAGCUAGAGUAUGGCAGAGGGUGGUGGAAUUUCCUGUGUAGCGGUGAAAUGCGUAGAUAUAGGAAGGAACACCAGUGGCGAAGGCGACCACCUGGGCUAAUACUGACACUGAGGUGCGAAAAGAAGGG